UUUAAGGUGGCAGACAAAUGCUUCAAUUUUAAGAGUUGACCAUAAAAUAAUUAUUUUCCUUAAAA
rnacentral:tRNA from 1 species